rnacentral:tRNA from 1 species
GAGCGUAUAGCUCAGUGGUAGAGUGCUGCUUGGCAUGCACGAGGUCCUGGGUUCAAUCUCCAGUAUAUCCA